UGAACUUGAUGCAUCUGCAUAUGAAGGCU
rnacentral:sRNA from 1 species